CGACGGCGGUGUUUGGCACCUCGAUGUCGGCUCAUCACAUCCUGGGGCUGAAGUAGGUCCCAAGGGUAUGGCUGUUCGCCAUUUAAAGUGGUACGCGAGCUGGGUUUAGAACGUCGUGAGACAGUUCGGUCCCUAUCUGCCGUGGGCGCUGGAGAACUGAGGGGGGCUGCUCCUAGUACGAGAGGACCGGAGUGGACGCAUCACUGGUGUUCGGGUUGUCAUGCCAAUGGCACUGCCCGGUAGCUAAAUGCGGAAGAGAUAAGUGCUGAAAGCAUCUAAGCACGAAACUUGCCCCGAGAUGAGUUCUCCCUGACUCCUUGAGAGUCCUGAAGGAACGUUGAAGACGACGACGUUGAUAGGCCGGGUGUGUAAGCGCAGCGAUGCGUUGAGCUAACCGGUACUAAUGAACCGUGAGGCUUAACCUUACAACGCCGAAG
rnacentral:rRNA from 1 species